UAAAACGUAGGACGCAAGCGUUAUCCGGAAUUACUGGGCGUAAAGCGCGCGCAGGCGGUUCGAUAAGUCACCUGUGAAAGCUCAUGGCUAAACUGUGAGAGGUGAGGUGAUACUAUCGGACUAGAGAUUGCUAGAGGUAUGUGGAAUUCCGCGUGUAGUGGUGAAAUGCGUAGAGAUGCGGAGGAACACCAGUGGCGAAGGCGGCAUACUGGGGCAAUACUGACGCUGAGGCGCGAAAGCAUGGGUAGCGAACGGG
rnacentral:rRNA from 1 species